CCAACGGCUCUCCUUAGAGCCACAAACUUGCGAAUACAAAUCAAU
rfam:Necator americanus N_americanus-1.0_Cont869.4, whole genome shotgun sequence.